UCUACCAUUUUGAGUUUUGAAAAAUAAAUACCACAACAAAGACUCCAUUUUUAUUUCUUCUUCUUUCUUGUUUUACAGAGAGAAACAAACCCCAAAGAGACAAGCCACGAUCCGCCAUAGCUGUUAGAGAUCCCCACCUUAGGAAAAAAGAAGAAGGACCAAAAAUCAUGCCUUCAGGUGCUAAAAAAAGGAAAGCAGCCAAGAAAAAGCAAGAAGUAGAAGAAGCAUCUUCUACUCAAAUCAAUCUCAAAUCCAACAACAACCAUGAUUCGAGAAGCCAAGGUGAAAGGGAGAACGAUGAUGGUACUGUUAGCUCUCAGGAGAACUACAAGAAGUCAGGAUCGACUGAGGAAGAUGCUAUCAGAAUCGAAAAGGAUACUGAUGACCGCAUAGAGAUCACUGAUUCAAGUCAUGAUCAUGACAAGAGCUCUAGCAGCAGUAGCAGUAGUAGCAGCAGCAGUAGCAGCAGCUCAGAUGAUGAGUCCCGGGAAGUUAAGAAGGUUGAUGAUGAUAAUAAAGAGACUGGUGAGUCGGUUCCUGAAGUGAUUACUGUGAGUUCUGUGCCAGUUGAACCUGUGCCGAUUGCUGGAGAUGCUCCGUUUAUGGGGUGUACUGCUAAUGCGAUUGUAGAGAAUACCGGUUUGUUGGAUUCAGCUACGCCUAGUGAUCCCAACUCUGGAGAACUGGUUGUAAUCUCGCAUGUUGAUACUAUAACCUCAAACGAGACGGACGAGAACCCUUUGCCUAAACCAACUGAGAUUGCCCCUGAAGUUUCUCUUGCAUCUGAUGCGAUUAGGCAGGCAUCUUCUGGUGAAACCGACUCUGAUGUGAAAGAAAGCGAGGAAAAAACAUCGCCUCUUCCAGAAUCCAACGGUGUUCCUGAAGACAAAAGAGGGUCUGAUGUUGUCAUAUCUCAUGAGGAAGAGGCUCCCGUGCGACCAACACAUGGUAUUGCGCAAAGAACCUCAUGGUUAAGUUGCUGUGGCUUGUUUGAUGUGGUCACUGGAUCCAGUAGAUAAACUCAGUUUAUGGAUAAGAGCCAAUUGAAAGCAUUUCUUUAAGUAGCAGGAGUUGGUUAGACAUCAAUGAAACAGUGUGCUGCCUAUAAACUCGGAAGGUGCAGAUCACGGCUAAGGAUUCUCAGUUUCCUCCCUCGAGUACCUGUCAAAGUUCAGUAACUUGAUGAAUGAAUGUCUAUCAAAUCACAAUUUUUCGCACAUGAAAGAGUACUCUACUUCUAAAUAGUCUUCAGCUCAGACAUGUCUACUACAGUAUCUGCUCUUUAUAUAAGUUUUUUACAGCUUCUUUUGUAGUUUUUCUUUCUUUGUCUUCCGUUUCGAUAUGUAAGAUUCCUUGUCUGCAUUGUCUUUAUUAUCUCAGGUUAUGAGACUUUGAGACUGUUUACUGUUUAUGGUGAACUUAAAUGAUUCAUGUUUUACGUAUAAUAAGACUGGGUUUAUGGAUUCUCGGGUU